rnacentral:sRNA from 1 species
UGAAGUCAGGUUUCCACCACCAGUCU